AUUAAGGUAGUUUAUUUGUGGUGUAUAAAAUGUAAAUUUGUGGUAUUUAAGAAGAGGUUUAUGUUAUAUUCUCUUAAUU
rnacentral:tRNA from 1 species